rnacentral:rRNA from 1 species
GACGAACGCUGGCGGCGUGCUUAACACAUGCAAGUCGAACGGAAAGGCCCUGCUUUUGUGGGGUGCUCGAGUGGCGAACGGGUGAGUAACACGUGAGUAACCUGCCCUUGACUUUGGGAUAACUUCAGGAAACUGGGGCUAAUACCGGAUAGGAGCUCCUGCUUCAUGGUGGGGGUUGGAAAGUUUCGGCGGUUGGGGAUGGACUCGCGGCUUAUCAGCUUGUUGGUGGGGUAGUGGCUUACCAAGGCUUUGACGGGUAGCCGGCCUGAGAGGGUGACCGGCCACAUUGGGACUGAGAUACGGCCCAGACUCCGACGGGAGGCAGCAGUGGGGAAUAUUGCACAAUGGGCGGAAGCCUGAUGCAGCAACGCAGCGUGCGGGAUGACGGCCUUCGGGUUGUAAACCGCUUUCGCCUGUGACGAAGCGUGAGUGACGGUAAUGGGUAAAGAAGCACCGGCUAACUACGUG